GUGCUCGCUUUGGCAGCACACUUACUAAAAUUGGACCAAUACAGAGAAGAUUAGUAUGGGCCCUGCACAAGGAUGAUAUGCAAUUCAUGAUGUAUUUCAUAUUAAA